rnacentral:rRNA from 1 species
UAGGGAAUCUUCCACAAUGGGCGAAAGCCUGAUGGAGCAACGCCGCGUGUGUGAUGAAGGCUCUCGGGUCGUAAAGCACUGUUGUAUGGGAAGAACAGCUAGAAUAGGAAAUGAUUUUAGUUUGACGGUACCAUACCAGAAAGGGACGGCUAAAUACGUGCCAG